GCGGGGCGGGGCGCGGGCUGGAGCUCGGCCUGGGCGCCCGCCCCUCGCAAGGGGACCCCUGGCUGCCGGCUGCGCCCCGCGCACCCGCGCCGGUCACAGCCACCCCAAGCCUUCUGUCACCUUCCGCCGCACCGCGGCUAGCUCCCACCUUACCGCAAACCACAUCCUGCCCAGCAGUGAAACGGGCUAGCUAGUCCCCAGCCAGCCCGAAGGGUCGCCCAGACCGGGGUCAGCACCGGGAUGGACUGGGAAGGGGCCAGUGCCCGUGCUCCAGCCGUGUGGACAGCUGGGACCCUGCUCCUAGCUGGAGCGGAGUGGGGGAAGUUGGGCUCACUCCCUCACCCUGCAAGGUGAUGUCCCAAGGAAGCUCAGGGAUGAAUGAGCAUAACACAUCCCAUAUCCCCUGCACCCCUGGUCUCUGGCUCCAGCCAUUCCCAAGAGAGGCUGCCAGCUGUGGAAGCCUCACAGGUCAGACCUGAGGGUUCUCCUAGGCAAGCUAAACAGGCCCUCUGUGGGUAAAUUAAAGGCUCCAGGGAGGAGGGCACAGGCCAUCAUUGGAGGUAUUGGCGUGGGGCUGCAGGCUGACCAGAACCUAGCUCUUCCCCCAGCUGUCCUGACACAAGACAUGGCUCAGUCUUUGGUCCCAGGUGCAGGACCUGGGCCAAAAGAGGACAGUAGACAAGGACAGCACCUGCAGUACCAGGGUUAUAGGUGCCAUUUUACAUGUGGAUUAGCUUCACAGGUGCGACUUAGAUUCCAUCCUCUCCUAAACUUGGUACAUACUAGGUACUAAAUAUGUAUUUGUUAAAUGGUAUGAUCUAGCCAGGUGUGGUGAAUCCCAGCACAAGCAAGGCUGAGGCAGGAGGAUUACCAUGAGUCCGAGGCCAGCUUGGGCUACAUAGUGCGACCCUGUUUCAAUAAAACCAAAAUAAUAAUAAUAGUAAAUGGCAUGACGUGGAUGACACAGUACAUCUCUGACUGUUUUCCAUUUAGGUGCUUUAAAUGGAUCCAGCAGCUGAGCAUACCGCUACCCAACCUCUCGGACAAAACAGGACCAGUGGACUAUCUGGUGGGGAAAGGGGGUGAAGGAGGCACGGAGGAGGGCUCGCUGCAUCCCUAGAAAUGCGGCAGGGGCAUUUCCUCUCAAUCUCUGAGGCAGACAGGAGCUGGCUUCUUCUCUCUCCAAUCCAGGCCUCCCAGGGCCUCCGGGUGUGAGAGCUUCCUCCACUGCAGUGCCCCACCCCCUCUGGGCAGAAGCCCAGGGACCGGCUCUGUCACCAGAGGUGUCAUUUCCCAGCUGUCUGGGGGAGGAGCCGUGGAAUGGUACCUGACAUGGGGUUAGGACAUGAACUCUGCUGCCAGUGAAGCCACGUGUUCAAAUCUUGUGACUUUUGAGGAGCCCUGUGGCUGAGAAGGGUUCCUCCACUGCGGGUUAAGCGCUGGGCUCCACAACAAAAGGGAAAAGCCAGGGACCUCAGGAGAGCCAAACGGGCAAUGUGCCAGCUUCAGAAGCUACAAUAACACACAGGAAAAGAGAUCCUUAAAACACAGUCCAGCCUUGCUGCGAUGAACUUAAUGACCAAGACAGUCGUGAAGCGGACUCAGACAGAUUUAAACCAAAAGGAAGAAUCCGACGGCGCGCAUGACUGGCACAGACAUACGCAGAGCAGCUUCAGGUACUCGGUGGGUGUUCUUCCGCGCUCCUCGCCUCCGCCUCAGUUUCAAUGCUAGACCUCAGUGCUCGCAGCUGCAUGCUGGCAUCUGAUACAGUGUUACAGGUUGUAUAUUUUUAAAAUUUAUGUUCAAAAUGGGAAAAGUUCAAAAAAGCAUAUAAACCAGGCACUAAGGCCAGAGUCAAGAUUCCAAUUAACUGUGAGGCUGAGGCAGAACCAGCCUGGGCAAACUAACCAGGUGCCGGGGUCUGAGCUGCAGCACCGGACCGGAGCAUAGUUCAGAACUCUCCUUGUACCCCAGCAGCUCCGUCUGCUUCCUUACAACAACCAAUUUCCCCAGUUACCUGUAUAUAAACCAUCAUGUCCAUAAUUUUCCACUUUGCCUUUUUUUUUUUUUGUCUUUUUCCUUUUUAUCGGUAUCGGGGAUCGAACUCACAACUGCCUGCUUGCAAGGCAGGCGCUUAUGCCGCUGAGCUAAAUCCCCUGCUUUUUCUUUCUUUCUUUCUUUUUUUUUUUAAAUACUAAGGAUUGAAUUUAGGGAGCCACGAACUAUGUGUCUAGUCUUUUUUAUUUUGUUUUGGAAGAAAUGUUGAUAAAUGGCCCAAGCUGGCCUCACACUUGCAGUCCUCCUGCAUCAGCCUGCAGCGCAGCUGGAUUACAAGCGUAUACCGCCACCCGGCUAAUCCGCUGCUUCUCCCCACUGAUGAAGCACACUGUGUGCAUCGUUCCGCACUUGGCUUUGAUGACUUCAUGCAUCUUGGAGAAUAUUCCAUGACGGUGCACAGAAUCCACUUUUUGCUUCUGGCCUAGUACUGCAUCCACUAUAUAGUUAUAUUAUAAUUUAUUUUUUCUUUUUGAGACAGGGCCUCAAAGCAGUCCAGGCUGGCCUUGAGCUCACUGUGUAGCACAGGCUGGCCUCGAACUCCAGUGAUCCUCCUGCCUCGGCCUCCUGAGUGCUGGGAUUACAGGCAGGAGCCACCAUGUCCAGCUGCUAUAUUAUCAUUUAACCAGUUCUCUCUAGAUAGUCAUUUAGGUAGUUUCUGACUUUCUGCCAAAAUACGCAAAGCUGCAAAGAAUAACCUAUACUUUCCCACUUUACCUAUAUGCAAAUACACAGGAUUAAUUCCUACAUAUGAAAAUUCUGCGUCCAAGGGCAUAGCUGUUUGUUGUUUUGGUUACUGCAAUUUUGGUGGAUGUGUAACCAGUUUUGUUAGCAGUACUACAGACAACACAGGGCUUUUGCGCGGAGCUACAUCCCCACCAUUUCUAUUUUUAUUUAUUCAUUUGUCUGGGUUUUUUUUUUUUUUUUUUGUCUUUUUUUGGUACCAGGGAUCAAACUCACGACUGCCUGCUUGUAAGGCAGGCGCUUAUGCUGCUGAGCUAAAUCCCCAGCCCCUUUGUUUGUCUUUUUGAGACAGGGUUCCACUAUAUAGUUCAGGCUGGCCUUGAACUCAUGUUUUUGUUGUUGUUAUUGUUUUGUGUUUUUUUGUAACAAGGAUCAAACUCAGAACCUCGUGCUUGCCAGGCAGGCACUUAUGCCGCUGAGCUAAAUCGCCUUGAACUUGCAGCAAUCCUCCUGCCUCGGUCUCCCAAGUGCUGGGAUUACAGAAAUAUGCCACCAUGCCCAGCUUAUAUUUCUGUUUUUAAUUGACGCAUAGUAACUAUACAUGUUUGUGGGGUCUGGCUUGACAUUUUAAAGCAAGUACACAAUGUAUAAUAAACAGAUCAGGUUAACUGGCA